rnacentral:rRNA from 1 species
UACGGAAGAUGCGAGCGUUAUCCGGAUUUAAUGGGUUUAAAGGGUGCGCAGGCGGUCUGUUAAGUCAGCGGUCAACGCCCGGGGCUCAACCCCGGCCCGCCGUUGAAACUGGCAGUCUCGAGUACAGUAGAGGUGGGCGGAAUUCGUGGUGUAGCGGUGAAAUGCAUAGAUAUCACGCAGAACUCCGAUUGCGAAGGCAGCAUACCGGCGCCCGACUGACGCUGAAGCACGAAAGCGUGGGUAUCGAACAGG